GCGGAGGAGAUACGGAAGCCGAGAGGGGUCAGCCUCCUCGUCACUCGGGAGGCGGGGAAGCGGAGGCAAGAUGGUUUACAUCUCGAAUGGACAAGUAUUGGACAGCCGGAGUCAGUCCCCAUGGAGAUUAUCUUUCAUAACAGAUUUCUUCUGGGGAAUAGCUGAGUUUGUGGUUUUGUUUUUCAAAACUCUGCUGCAGCAAGAUGUGAAAAAGAGAAGAGGUUAUGGAAGCUCAUCUGAUUCCAGAUAUGAUGAUGGAAGAGGGCCUCCAGGAAACCCCCCGAGAAGAAUGGGUCGAAUUAAUCAUCUACAUGGCCCUAGUCCUCCUCCAAUGGCUGGUGGAUGAGGAAGGUAAAUGUCUGCUCUAAGAAGCAGACAACUGGGCAUGCACAUUCAUAGUAGAAGGAAACCAUCAAGAAGUGGAGGGCUGAUCAUGCUGGACAAGUAGAUGGAUGUGUACGUCUAAAUAAGGGUUGCGCUGUGUCCUCACAGAUGAAUGAGGUCGUGCUGGGAAUUCCCUCCACAGGGAUCUGGCAUGACUGACAUGCAGUUCUGAAAAUGCAUAUGUUUGUCUCAUUGUCCUUUUUGUAUAGUUUAUGAAAGUAUUAGUAUAGUUUUAAUAAGUAAAUAUUUUUAGGUUACAAAACUGAUUUCUCAUCUUUAUAUAAUUAAAACACAAAAACUCCAAAUUCAAAGAAAAAUAAAAGGCUGUGUAUU